CAGUAGCCGCGGGAAAACGGAGGGUGCAAGCGUUAAUUGGAAUUACUGGGCGUAAAGCGCACGCAGGCGGUCUGACAAGUCAGAUGUGAAAUCCCCGGGCUUAACCUGGGAACUGCAUUUGAAACUGUCAGGCUGGAGUCUUGUAGAGGGGGGUGGAAUUCCAGGUGUAGCGGUGAAAUGCGUAGAGAUCUGGAGGAAUACCGGUGGCGAAGGCGGCCCCCUGGACAAAGACUGACGCUCAGGUGCGAAAGCGUGGGGAGCAAACAGGAUUAGAUACCCCAGUAGUCCCUGUCUCUCAUAC
rnacentral:rRNA from 1 species